rnacentral:SRP_RNA from 1 species
GCUGGGCUUGGUGGUGUGUGCCUGUAAUCCCAGCUACUCAGGAGGCUGAGGCAGGAGAAUCGCUUGAACCCAGGAUGCAGAGGUUGCAGUGAGCUGGGAUUGUGCCACUGCACUCCAGCCUGGGUGACAGAGUGAGACUCUGUCUCAA